GAAUAUAAUCGGGGUUUCAUUUUCCAUAAAAUGUGAGCUGAUGUUCGUAAACCAGCUGUAUUUUUAUUUUAAUUUUGUCAAUUCCGGGUGAUCAUAUAUCCUUCACAUUUGAAGAUGCUUGAUGAUUCAAAAUUUAAUUGAUACAAAUAUACACUAUUUUUAUUAUUUCCUUUCCAAAGUUAGCUUAAUAAUUUAGGAAAGUAAUAAUACUGAUUGAGCAUUCCUUGUUUAUGAGCUGUUUACCUUAUUCUACAAAAGGGUUGUCCUUAUCCUUGCAAUCACAAAACAUAAGAACUCAUUUACAUUUCAGUUUCACGCCAUUAAUCAGUUGUCGCAACAGGAAAUAAACUUAGUAUUCGUUUGCUCUGCUUUGGUAAAAAAAAAAAAAAGAUGGGAGGUCUUUGCUCAGGAGGGAUGAAGAAGCAACAAAAUGCUUUAGAUCUUAAUCUUGAGAGGCUAAAGUUAGAAAAAAGCACAAAGCAUCACCACAAAGAAAACAGAAUCACUCUCGAACCGCUACAGUUGCCAUUUCCCAGGGAAUUACUGUCGAUGACAGGGGCUUCCGAGUACAAGGUAUGUUCAAAUAAUUGACUGUACUUUUUUGUACUUGAUCAAAUUUUUAGAAGCGAGCAGAUAUUUUAAUGCAUGAUUAUAGCAAUAUAAAGACGAUGGCUUACACAAACAGGUUGAAGUUUUCAGUUUAAAAUAAUCCUGGUGCAAAUUUAAUGAAUGUUUCUUUCUUGUAAACUAAGGAGUGUUUGAUAUUGAUAGAAAGAAACACUGUCCGAUCAUGACGUUUAAAUUAAUAAUAUAUCGAACAAAGACUCUUGAGUUCUGUUUAUUGAAAAUAUACAUAUAUACGCACACACGGUUGCUCUGUUAGUGAUAUACUGAUAUUUUGGCUACCAGGUCGUUUUCUCCUUUUCUUGAGAUACACUUUUGGAUUAUAAUUUUUUUUCCCCAUUUCGUAGGCUGCUAAGAGGUCUUCGUUUCUUGGAAGAGAUGGCAUUGGCGGCCUAUCAAUGACUGGUCCAGCAGUUUAAUUUUAACAUUGGAGAAGUCCCUACAUUUUAAGGCGUUUGCUUAUUGAUUGAUUGAUUCAUUAGAGGAAACCGAAAAUUCCUUGUACAGGUGUAGAAGAUAAAUAAUCAAGGAAUAAAAGCUUGUGAAUAUUGUUUCAUUGUUCAUCUCACUAGGCUGAUACUUUGGGUUGGUGUAUCCUUUCAAAUUUAUCUUCAUAUGGUUCUGUUCGGUUUAUUGAUUCGUUACUAAACAUAUUUUUAUUUUUA
rnacentral:lncRNA from 1 species